GGACUACCAGGGUAUCUAAUCCUGUUUGCUCCCCACGCUUUCGCGCCUCAGCGUCAGUAAAGGACCAGGUUGCCGCCUUCGCCACCGGUGUUCUUCCCAAUAUCUACGAAUUUCACCUCUACACUGGGAAUUCCACAACCCUCUUCCUCACUCCAGAUCAUACGUAUCAAAUGCAGCCCCCAAGUUAAGCUCGGGAAUUUCACAUCUGACUGUACCAUCCGCCUACGCGCCCUUUACGCCCAGUCAUUCCGAGCAACGCUAGCCCCCUUCGUAUUACCGCGGCUGCUGGCAC
rnacentral:rRNA from 1 species